AAGUAGGCAAAAGAUGUUACUUUAGGUAGGCUACUAAUUGGAGGCGCAGCUUCACCCUCAUACAAUGCGUACAUUGGAACAUGAACGGCACAUAAAGCCCUGCGUCUGUGGCCCAGCAGUGAGAGCUGCUCGAUGACUAAGGACCCCUGGUGUAGUCUCAGCGCUGGACUGGAGCUAAAAGCCAAAAGCAAGCUGCUUCAGUGGCAGGAGACGUGCUGUGAGUAGCAGCUAGAAGAUCCGCACGGAGGACUCUCCCACCAUCGUCGUUGCUGACCUCAUGAAGCUGUGAAAUUUUUGUGCCCAGCAAGGUCAGCUCACACUCACGCUGAAGCAGCACUUAUGCUGUAGCAUGGUCAGC